UCUGAAUUGAUAACUAGUUGGCAAUCGGGCAUUGAUCACUUUUGGCAGCAAAAGUACAUCCUCUAGUUGCAGCCUGAAUACAGAGGCAGAAGACAAAAUGUGACAGUACCUUAUCCUUCCAAGGGUUUCGGUGCUGCAAAUAUCAGCCAGCUUCGUAUGUUAUCUUGUUCAUCUUGGGAUCGACACGUACGAUAGAGGAAGAAACAGAAUACAUGGUACUAGAUCUUCAAGAUCAUGUCUUUUUCAUAAUCAUUCCUGUCAUUGUUUACUCGCACUCUAAGGAACCCGAUGGUUUCAGGGUAUAUGUAACUUAUCUUUUUAGAGUUCUACAGGAAAAAAGAAUGGUAAAAACCAGGUAUUGAGUGUAAAACCACCUUGGAACCAUCUAAUAAUUGCUCAUAACAUUUAUGUUUUUGCUA